GACGUAGGUGGCGAGCGUUAUUCGGAAUCACUAGGCGUAAAGCGCGUGUAGGCGGGUGCUUAAGUCCGUAGUGGAAUCUCCCGGCUCAACCGGGAGGGGUCUGCGGAUACUGGGCGCCUUGAGUUAGGCAGGGGGGACUGGAAUUCCCGGUGUAGCGGUGAAAUGCGCAGAUAUCGGGAAGAACACCGGUGGCGAAGGCGGGUCCCUGGGCCUCAACUGACGCUAAGACGCGAAAGCUAGGGGAGCAAACAGG
rnacentral:misc_RNA from 1 species